AAUAACCUAAUUUUUUAUUUUUCCGUAUCCAAUGUUUGACCAUUCGUUUUAUUUAAUUUUUUUUUGCGAUUAAUAUUUUUAUUGUUACUAGAUGAUAAAAUAUGAAUAGUACUUUAUAUGUGACUAAUUUUUUAAAGAUUUUGUACAAAAUUUUUAAAUAAGACGAAUGGUCAAACGUUGGACACGAAAAA
rfam:Oryza brachyantha chromosome 3, whole genome shotgun sequence.